CAAAGGUGAGAAACCCAACCAGGAAGUAAACAAUAAUGGCGAUGACUUCAAGAAAAAUAGUUUAUAAUGUUUUAAAAGUCUUUCUUCUUUUCUUUAUUCAACAAACACUUUGUGAGACACCCACCACUAGUUUAUAUUUAUCCCAGAAGUUAUCGGAGGACGGGUAUGGGAUCGAUAUGAGAAGUGUCACCCCCACCAAGUCGUCAACUCAACAGGCAAGACUGCACCCGGGGGUCAUUGCAGCAGUGAUAUUUGUUACAUUGGCUGCAGUUCUUGCUGCAGUUUUUAUCAUCAGAAAAUACUGCUUUCCCCGCAGUGAGGCCACAUACAGAUACUCAGUGCUGAGGCGGAUGGAGGCUGAGGGGUCAGGAUAUGGGACUGAGGAGGAG